GAAGGGGCUCGUUGCGUGACCAGCGGAGGGACAUUACCGAGUUUACAACUCCCAAACCCCUGUGAACAUACCAAUUGUUGCCUCGGCGGAUCAGCCCGCUCCCGGUAAAACGGGACGGCCCGCCAGAGGACCCCUAAACUCUGUUUCUAUAUGUAACUUCUGAGUAAAACCAUAAAUAAAUCAAAACUUUCAACAACGGAUCUCUUGGUUCUGGCAUCGAUGAAGAACGCAGCAAAAUGCGAUAAGUAAUGUGAAUUGCAGAAUUCAGUGAAUCAUCGAAUCUUUGAACGCACAUUGCGCCCGCCAGUAUUCUGGCGGGCAUGCCUGUUCGAGCGUCAUUUCAACCCUCAAGCCCCCGGGUUUGGUGUUGGGGAUCGGCGAGCCCUUGCGGCAAGCCGGCCCCGAAAUCUAGUGGCGGUCUCGCUGCAGCUUCCAUUGCGUAGUAGUAAAACCCUCGCAACUGGUACGCGGCGCGGCCAAGCCGUUAAACCCCCAACUUCUGAAUGUUGACCUCGGAUCAGGUAGGAAUACCCGCUGAACUUAA
rnacentral:rRNA from 1 species